rnacentral:rRNA from 1 species
CGAGAAUCCGGGGCAACCCGGUAGUAAAGUGGCGAACGGGUGAGGAAUACAUGGGUAACCUGCCCUUGAGGAUGGGAUAACCCGCCGAAAGGCGAGCUAAUACCAUAUACGCUUGUUGUCUCGCGGGAUAGCAAGGAAAGCUGGACCGAGGGUUUGGCGCUCAAGGAGGGGCUCAUGUCCUAUCAGCUUGUUGGUAGGGUAACGGCCUACCAAGGCAACGACGGGUAGCUGGUCUGAGAGGAUGAUCAGCCACACUGGCACUGAGACACGGGCCAGACUCCUACGGGAGGCAGCAGUGAGGAAUAUUGCGCAAUGGGCGAAAGCCUGACGCAGCGACGCCGCGUGGGGGAUGAAGGUUUUCGAAUUGUAAACCCCUUUCAGGAGGAAAGAGAAGGUGGGUUACCAUCUAGACGGUACCUCCAGAAGAAGCCACGGCUAACUUCGUGCCAGCAGCCGCGGUAAUACGAAGGUGGCGAGCGUUGUUCGGAUUUACUGGGCGUAAAGAGCACGUAGGCGGUUAGGUAAGCCUCUUGGGAAAGCUCCUGGCUUAACCGGGAAAGGUCGAGGGGAACUGCCUAGCUAGAGGGCGGGAGAGGAGCGUGGAAUUCCCGGUGUAGCGGUGAAAUGCAUAG